UGGCGCUAUACGGAGCACCCGUCUGGUGUA
rnacentral:sRNA from 1 species